GAUGAACGCUGGCGGCGUGCCUAAUACAUGCAAGUCGAGCGAACCACUUCGGUGGUGAGCGGCGAACGGGUGAGUAACCCGUAGGUGAUCUGCCCAUCCGACGGGGACAACGAUUGGAAACGAUCGCUAAUACCGGAUAGGCCGAAAGUUUAAAGGUGCUUCUGGCACCGCUGAUGGAUGAACCUGUGGAGCAUUAGCCAGUUGGUAGGGUAAAGGCCUACCAAGGCGACGAUGCGUAGCCGACCUGAGAGGGUGAACGGCCACACUGGGACUGAGACACGGCGCAGACUCCUACGGGAGGCAGCAGUAGGGAAUCUUCGGCAAUGGGCGAAAGCCUGAGCGUGCAACGCUGCGUGAAUGAUGAAGGCCUUCGGGUUGUAAAAUUCUGUUAUAAGGGAAGAACGACUUUAGUAGGAAAUGGCUAGAGUGUGACGGUACCUUAUGAGAAAGCCACGGCUAACUACGUGCCAGCAGCCGCCGCCGUAA
rnacentral:rRNA from 1 species